rnacentral:rRNA from 1 species
GACGAACGCUGGCGGCGUGCUUAACACAUGCAAGUUGAACGGAAAGGCCCUGCUUUUGUGGGGUGCUCGAGUGGCGAACGGGUGAGUAACACGUGAGUAACCUGCCCUUGACUUUGGGAUAACUUCAGGAAACUGGGGCUAAUACCGGAUAGGAGCUCCUGCUGCAUGGUGGGGGUUGGAAAGUUUCGGCGGUUGGGGAUGGACUCGCGGCUUAUCAGCUUGUUGGUGGGGUAGUGGCUUACCAAGGCUUUGACGGGUAGCCGGCCUGAGAGGGUGACCGGCCACAUUGGGACUGAGGUACGGCCCAGACUCCUACGGGAGGCAGCAGUGGGGAAUAUUGCACAAUGGGCGGAAGCCUGAUGCAGCAACGCCGCGUGCGGGAUGACGGCCUUCGGGUUGUAAACCGCUUUCGCCUGUGACGAAGCGUGAGUGACGGUAAUGGGUAAAGAAGCACCGGCUAACUACG